rnacentral:lncRNA from 1 species
GCCAAACCUGGAGAGAAAAUAUUUAGAGAAAGGCCGAUCUUCAGCAGAAUCGGCUCUUGGAACCUUGGGAGCGGUCCUGGGCCUGCCUUCUGAGACACCCUGGGGUGCCCUGAGUCGGCGAAGCGGGCCAUGGCGGGCUCGUGGGCCCUCCCUGAGGCCGUGGGCCGUGAGGACAGCUCACCAUGUCUCUGAGGCUGCCUCACAGCGAGUGAGGAACCACAUGCUUACUGGAACUGGGAAAGUCUCCUCAGAGGACGCAGAUCUCACCGGCCCACCUUCUUGCUCUGCUGAGAAAGAAGGUGUCAGCAAGAGGCAAAGAAAAGGACAAGCAUCUUCCUUCACUCAGCAGACCACAGCGUGAGUUGCUUUGGGUCACCAUCAUACCAUCUACCACCUUCGUGGGAGCCAGACCCAGAGAGAGAACCAUGCUUUCUCCGACUGAGGCCAGACCAAGACUCUGCACAGGGGAAUAAUUCGGUGCCCCUUCACACAAGGGAAAAAAUGGAUUUCCGACCAGAUCAGCAUUUGGCUUCAAGUCACAGAGAGGUGUAAAACAAGACAGAGGUAUAUUCCUUUCUCACCAGCAGACUGUGCCUGACAUGGGAGCUCUGCUUUAUGAAGUCCUUAGGGACCCAGGCUCUUUCUAUCCUACUGCUCUGCCAGGCAUAGCCUCCCAUCCCCAGGUCACGUCAUGAUCCAAGCUGACUGCUGCAGUGACAUUCUGGCCAGCAGAGAGGAGAAAAGGAUCAAGAAGGAGCAGUAGACGGUUCCCAGAACCGAAUUAUGAUACUUCUGAUUUCAUCUGACUGGCCCAAACUUUCCCACAUGGUCACUCCUGGCCGUGAGGGGCUGGGACAUGGAGUCUUUAUUCCGGGUGACCACGUGCCCCGCCAUAGCCACGGAGUCUCUUAGCAGGGAAAGGGGGGAGAAAGGACACUUUAGGUAAAGAAACAGGCUCCGCCAAACUUAUUAAUUAAAACAUUUAUGCACAGACAGAUUUACUCACUAAUUUACCUCCCCUGGCUGUAGAAAAAUUAAUGGCCUACAAAAGUGGCAAAAUGUCUUACACUUUUUGUGGUACUUUUUUCCUCACCUCGGUUUUCUUUGGCAAUUUCCCAAGUCAGACAAUUUGGUGGGGGAAGCAUAUUGGAAGGGCUUACAAAUUAUCUAAUAAAAU